rnacentral:rRNA from 1 species
GAGGAUCGUAGUCCCCAGGUUGCCGCAGGCCUCCUGGGUAACCUACCACCCUUUGUUUAUUACACUUUGUUGCUUUGGCAACCCUGCCCUCGGGCUGCUGGCUCCGGCCGGCGAGCGCUUGCCAGAGGACCUAAACUCUGUUUGUCUAUACUGUCUGAGUACUAUAUAAUAGUUAAAACUUUCAACAACGGAUCUCUUGGUUCUGGCAUCGAUGAAGAACGCAGCGAAAUGCGAUAAGUAAUGUGAAUUGCAGAAUUCAGUGAAUCAUCGAAUCUUUGAACGCACAUUGCGCCCCCUGGUAUUCCGGGGGGCAUGCCUGUCCGAGCGUCAUUACAACCCUCAAGCUCAGCUUGGUAUUGGGCCCCGCCGACCCGGCGGGCCCUAAAGUCAGUGGCGGUGCCGUCCGGCUCCGAGCGUAGUAAUUCUUCUCGCUCUGGAGGUCCGGUCGUGUGCUCGCCAGCAACCCCCAAUUUUUUUCAGGUUGACCUCGGAUCAGGUAGGGAUACCCGCUGAACUUAAGCAUAUCAAUAAUCGGAGGAA